CCCGCCCUGUACUGGUUCCCGGCUAUUAAACCAACACUGAAAUCCAAGCGGAUUUGAAACCAGCGGACGUCAUGAACGCGGUCAAAAAAUGGUGACGUCACACCCAUGAAGCAACGAGAGUAAACAAAGAUUACGCCAUGUUACUCCGUGUGUUGUGUAUGCGUUUUCAUCCACACUACAGGCGUGCGUGUGUGCUACGAAGCUUUUUGUUUCUAGUGUAUCAGCUAUAAAUACUGCCGACUAUUUGGUUGUUUGUGGAUGCACUAGAAGUUUAAAAGUUUGUGUAAGAAGCCUGGAUCGAUUCCGAAAUUUAAACCUCUAAACAUCGAGAGAAUUCAGGGGAUCUUCUACCACCAGGCCCCAGCCAGUGCUGCUUGUGCAUGCUACGAGUACGACAUCGACGGGGUCCCUCUGCCGUGGCCCUGGUCGCAAGUGGCCGUGGAACAGCAAAAGAAUGAAGUGGCAUUACAGAAAAGAGAGGGAGAAAAGCCUGAAAUAACUCGCAGCUCUACACUACAAUGAGAAUGCAGGACGAAGACAAUGCAGGACGGAGACAUGCUAGCCAGAACUAGAAAUGGAGACCUAAGAUUCUCAAUAGCACUUUAGAUACGCAAAGAAUGCAUGCACAAUGCACUUGUUCAUUGUCAG